UAGUAACUUUUUAAGGUGAUGGGAAGGAAUGUGAAUGGCUGGAAUUGAAGAUUGGAAUGAUUCUACCAUUAAAAUCUCCAGAUUUGUUCACAAUUUAAUUAUUUUAUGGUUCAUCUCUCGAACGAUUCAUGUGGUUUGGUGACGGUUGAAGAAUGAUUCAAGGACAGGCUUUGGCUCGCCUCUUAAAUUUCCAAGAAUAGGUCCAACAAAAACACAGUUAUCCAGAUUUGUUCAGUUUCGUUUCGGUAAACGCUUUUAGCGGUUGAAGCAGUUAGAGCUCAAAAAGCAUGCGUUCGCCAAAUAGUUGCUUAACGCUCUUGAAGCUGCUUCAACAACUCGUCCUGGGAUUCCAGCCAUGGUUGCUACUUUUAGGCCAUAGCUCUCAGGGCAAGCUCCGGAGCGAAGGCGAUAUAGAAAAAUGAGCUCGUGGUCUUUGAAUGUGCAGGCCAUGUGUUGAAGCAUGACGUGAGGAUGGGAAGCAAACUCUUUUGUUAAAGGGUGAUAGUGAGUAGCAAAUAGAAGUCUACAGUUAACCUUUUCUAUCAAAUGGCGAAACACCUGAAGAACCGAUUUGUAGUCAUUUUAAUAUCUUUUGAUCAAUAAGGAAUUAUUUGAUCCUAAUAUGUUUAGGAGUCAUUUUAAAAUAAUUAAAAUCAUUUUUCAUUUCAAAAUCA